AGCAGCGUGGCUCAGUGGAAAGAGCACGGGCUUGGGACUCAGAGGGCAUAGGUUUGAAUCCUGGCUCUGCCG
rfam:Ornithorhynchus anatinus chromosome 2, whole genome shotgun sequence.